UUCGCAAUGCCCGAAAGGGUGACGAAGCGACGCCGCGUGGGUGAAGAAGGCCUUCGGGUUGUAAAACCCUGUCAGGAGUUAUGAAAUGUAAGUACGCUAAUAUCGUGCUUACUUGACAAAGGCUCCAAAGGAAGCCACGGCUAACUCUGUGCCAGCAGCCGCGGUAAUACAGAGGUGGCGAGCGUUGUUCGGAAUUAUUGGGCGUAAAGAGCACGUAGGUGGGUUUGCAAGUCAGAUGUGAAAGCCUUCUGUUCAACGGAAGAAUUGCAUCUGAAACUGCUAAUCUUGAGUAUAGGAGGGGAGAAUGGAACUUCUGGUGGAGCGGUGAAAUGCGUAGAUAUCAGAAGGAACGCCGGCGGCGAAAGCGAUUCUCUGGCCUAUUACUGACACUCAGUGUGCGGAAGCUAGGGGAGCAAACGGGAUUAGAUACCCCGGUAGUCCUAGCCGUAAACGAUGGGCACUAAGUAGAGGGGUUUU
rnacentral:rRNA from 1 species